UAGUUUUUGCGUGAAGGAGUAACAAACACACACACACACACACACACAUACAAACUUUCGCCUUUAUAAUAUUACUGUGAUAGAGUGAAGUGUGAUAGCUUAACUAUUGUAGACCUUUU